UACGAAGGGGGCAAGCGUUGUUCGGAAUUACUGGGCGUAAAGGGCGCGUAGGCGGUCAGCACAAGUCAGUUGUGAAAUCUCCGGGCUUAACUCGGAAAGGUCAACUGAUACUGUGCGACUAGAGUGCAGAAGGGGCAACUGGAAUUCUCGGUGUAGCGGUGAAAUGCGUAGAUAUCGAGAGGAACACCUGCGGCGAAGGCGGGUUGCUGGGCUGACACUGACGCUGAUGCGCGAAAGCCAGGGGAGCGAACGGG
rnacentral:rRNA from 1 species